GCCUGAAAAGCAAAAAACUCAUGAAGAUUAGUAUUGACUGAACUGCGAUGUUUGAACUAAAAAAUCCACUUUCCCAUUUAACCAUGACUUCUUUGGUUUUGUUUCUGCAUUGAACAGAAAACACAAAGGGGUUGAGUUGGACCUGACAGAGAUGCUGAAUUUUCAAUGAUUCAGUUAUCUUGAACAAAAUACUCAUUUACUCUGCUCAGUGCUGCAGCUUCACCCCCAAUAAACCUCAUUCCUCUGCUAACCUGCAUCAACAAGAGGAAAUGAAUGAACAGACUUGGAAGACAUUGCCAUGCUUAGUUAUGAAUGAGAACUUUCACGAGCAUGGAUGCAUGUAUAAACCUGCCUUUUCCUCAUGGAGUCCAAGCUGGUCGAUGGAAGGAACGCUUCCCCAGUCCUCUAUGUUUGGUGGUGGCCCGAGCAAUGUUGGAGUUCUAAUGCAUAUCCGGAUUGUGCACUUGGAUUCAACGGACUGCAAGGUGUGGUUUCAUUCAUAAAACACAGUUCAGAAAAUAUUCCCAAAGAACUGAGUGUGUCUUGGAGACAAAGUCUUUGACAAAGAAUCAGACCUUGCGGAACUGAGUGUAGACAUCUGGUAAACUGCUGGUACUGAAAGGAAGGUCCUCUAUAUGGUACAUGGUACUACCCCAGAUAAGCUGUAAUUUUGGGUGGUUUGAGGAACUCAGGCUGGUGGAUUGCCCAGGAGAUGGUGGCAACACCACUUGUCGCAGACCAUUUCUAACCAGUCGCUCGACAUUCAGCUCCUCACUACAAGUUUCUUUAUGUGCAUACACCUGAUUAGAUCAGAUAAAGAGUCUUUAUUCGCUAGGUAGAUAUUAGAUCGGUAGCCCCAAAAAUCAUAUUCAUUGCAUAAGACAAACGAAUGAGACAAAUCCUUAACCGUGUGGGCUUCAAAGGUUUUUGCAAGAGAAGGGAGAAUUUCCUCGGGUUUCCCAUGUUGAAUGAGCAAGUUCAGCCCUCGGUUCAUGAGAUUCCUUUUCAAGUCAGCCAAGCAUUCUAUGAGAAAUUGUGCCCUCAAGGCUGCCAAAUAAUGGAAAUUUAAGGAGUUUUCAGCUCUAUUUUCAACAACUUACUAUGUUAGAAUUCAUGUAGAAUUCUAUAAACAACACAUCAAAAGACAAAUUAUAGUUUUGUUACUGUUUAAACUUAUAGGAUUUGGAUUUAUAAUGUAUAUCAUGUUCUUUAAUACCCCUUCA